UUAAUUCCCCUUGUCUUCUGGUACCCCUUUAUUUCCCCGUCGGAGAAUCAUCGGCAGGAACUUCACCACCGUAAAUAGCCGUCAUCAAUCGGCGGUCGGAGCUGAAUUAAUGGAGCGAGAAGUGUUAGAAGCAGAACUAGUACUUCCAACUCACAUGAAAUUUAAGAAGAUUCAGAUGUACGACAAGUACCCUAAAGGACAAGCUAGAGGACGGCACUGGAAACAUCUCAAGCAGAUUAUACAAGCAGAAAAUUACGAAAAUUAUCCUCCUCAUCUACCUACUUAUGUUAACAUUGAAACGCCACCUUCUAUGCAUCCUGGCAAAAAGAUAUGUGACAUAACAGGAUUCGAGGCACCAUAUUUUGACCCAAGAACUAAACUCCGUUAUGCUAAUACUGAGGUUUUUAAGACAAUAAGGUCGCUCCCUAAUGACCAUGUUCAGAGGUACUUGGCUCUCAGAAACGCAGCUGUUGUUUUGAGAUAGGUGCAGAACGCAGAAUAGAUAGUUGUAAAUUAAUGUGGAAAGUAGUGGACGUUUGAAGUUGUCGUUUCUGAAUGCUCAGGGCUGGGAACCUCCCCUUAAUUCUCGUUGUUACUGAGCUAGGGAGGUCUGAUAAUGUUGGGAAAGAUUGUUCUUCGUCAAUUGGUUUGUUAACCAUGGCCAUGGAAGUUUCAUUCUUUUACCAGUCCUCCUAGCCAACAACUUGCAUCGCUCAAAAUAAUGUGAUGAGCCAUCCCUUUUUGUCAUUCACCACCUUGUCCUAUCUCUGCUCUCCCGAAUUAUAAACACGUACGGGCUUGAGUGGUGGCUGCUGCUCUUAAAAGAGAAGAGAGCUCUGUGACUUCCGAUUCAGGCGGGAUGAAGUGAUUCCAUUUCGAAGGUCCUAAGGGACGUCCAUAGAAAAUUCUACACCCCUACUUGUGAAGAAAUGAAGGGUAAGUUUCAUCUCACCCCAAUUUGUGACAAUAAUUUUUGUAAGAAAAUAAACUGUUAUCAUAAUUCUUUGGUCAAAUACAUAAACAGGUCUCUAAACUUGUUGGUUUUUUUCCCUCGGGUAUUUCAACUAUGCUAUUUUCCUAUUGAAUCAUUGAACCACCCAUAAUUUGUUCCUUUUAAACAAACAUCGUUGGCUGAUGUGGAAUCAGAUUUUGUGAGGGGUAUUGAUAGAGGACACAUAUUUUGUUCCAAAACUCAUUAGUCCAAUUGAUAAUGAAAAUGUUUGAAAAUAAUUGUAUUUUACUUGAAGUCAUUUGAACACAUUAGAAAACAGAUGAGAUCCAUAGAGUUUUAUUCAUUCCUUCAAUCAAAAUCAUUACAAUACGAACACAAUUGAAGGCAUUUACAAUAGAAAAGCUGAUCAAAAUCAACCAACAGUGUUUAAAAGGAAUAAAUUAUGAGCGGUUCAAUGAUUCAAUAGGAGAAUGACGUAGUUGAGGUACCUGAGGUGAAAAAUCAAACAAGUUUAGGAAUCUAUUUAUGAGUUCGGCCUAAUUCUUUUUUUAAAUAUGUCACUUGUAUACGUGUCACAUUUUCAUUGACGUUUGAUUUAAUUAUACAUGUCACUUAUUAGUUAUAUAUUAAUUUUUUUUUCAUAAAUAAUAAUGAGAAUGUUACAUUGAUCUGGGCUUCAAAUAGCACCAAAUUACAAAAGCCCAUCCAACUAAUAUUGGGCUUUUCAUCAAUCCAUACCAUAAAAUCUUAAACCCUAGCAGCUCCCUAUAUAUAUAUAUAACUCUUCCCUCUCUUGAAACUUACGGAGCAAUAAUUUCAAGCUUCAAUGCUUUCAUUUUAUUUUCUUUUGUUAAUUUUACUCAUAAUUUUUAUUAAUUUAUUUUGAAUCUGUGCAUAAUUAAGCCGAUGCUCUGGAUAAUUUGAAUGAAGGUAGCAUGGUUAUAUGUACAGAAAUUGAAUUAAUAGAGUCGACAUGUCUGCUACCUCUGAUUUCUCCAUGAUUUGGUGGCCUGGUUUAGACUCACAUUCAUUUUUUCCCCUUAAUUUUAUAUAUACAAUGUAAUUUUUCAACCAAGAUUAAUUGAAUCUGUGCGCAGUUAAGCCGAUGCUCAUUUUUUUCCCCUUAAUUUUAUAUAUAUGAUUGUAAUUUUUCAACGAAGAUUAAUUGGAUCUGUGCGCAAUUAAGCCAAUGCUCAUUUUUUUCCUUAAUUUUAUAUGUAUAUGAUGUAAUUUUUCAACGAAGAUUAAUUGGAUCUGUACGCAAUUAAGCC